rnacentral:rRNA from 1 species
GAUGAACGCUGGCGGCGUGCCUAAUACAUGCGAGUCGAGCGAACGGACGAGAAGCUUGCUUCUCUGAUGUUAGCGGCGGACGGGUGAGUAACACGUGGAUAACCUACCUAUAAGACUGGGAUAACUUCGGGAAACCGGAGCUAAUACCGGAUAAUAUUUUGAACCGCAUGGUUCAAAAGUGAAAGACGGUCUUGCUGUCACUUAUAGAUGGAUCCGCGCUGCAUUAGCUAGUUGGUAAGGUAACGGCUUACCAAGGCAACGAUGCAUAGCCGACCUGAGAGGGUGAUCGGCCACACUGGAACUGAGACACGGUCCAGACUCCUACGGGAGGCAGCAGUAGGGAAUCUUCCGCAAUGGGCGAAAGCCUGACGGAGCAACGCCGCGUGAGUGAUGAAGGUCUUCGGAUCGUAAAACUCUGUUAUUAGGGAAGAACAUAUGUGUAAGUAACUGUGCACAUCUUGACGGUACCUAAUCAGAAAGCCACGGCUAACUGCGUG